AGAUUAAGUUAUUAAGGGCGCACGGUGGAUGCCUUGGCACUAGAAGCCGAUGAAGGACGUUACUAACGACGAUAUGCUUUGGGGAGCUGUAAGUAAGCUUUGAUCCAGAGAUUUCCGAAUGGGGAAACCCAGCAUGAGUUAUGUCAUGUUAUCGAUAUGUGAAUACAUAGCAUAUCAGAAGGCACACCCGGAGAACUGAAACAUCUUAGUACCCGGAGGAAGAGAAAGAAAAUUCGAUUCCCUUAGUAGCGGCGAGCGAAACGGGAAGAGCCCAAACCAAAAAGCUUGCUUGUUGGGGUUGUAGGACACUCUAUACGGAGUUACAAAGGACGACAUUAGACGAAUCAUCUGGAAAGAUGAAUCAAAGAAGGUAAUAAUCCUGUAGUCGAAAAUGUUGUCUCUCUUGAGUGGAUCCUGAGUACGACGGAGCACGUGAAAUUCCGUCGGAAUCUGGGAGGACCAUCUCCUAAGGCUAAAUACUCUCUAGUGACCGAUAGUGAACCAGUACCGUGAGGGAAAGGUGAAAAGCACCCCGGAAGGGGAGUGAAAUAGAACCUGAAACCGUGUGCUUACAAGUAGUCAGAGCCCGUUAAUGGGUGAUGGCGUGCCUUUUGUAGAAUGAACCGGCGAGUUACGAUUUGAUGCAAGGUUAAGCAGUAAAUGUGGAGCCGUAGCGAAAGCGAGUCUGAAUAGGGCGUUUAGUAUUUGGUCGUAGACCCGAAACCAGGUGAUCUACCCUUGGUCAGGUUGAAGUUCAGGUAACACUGAAUGGAGGACCGAACCGACUUACGUUGAAAAGUGAGCGGAUGAACUGAGGGUAGCGGAGAAAUUCCAAUCGAACCUGGAGAUAGCUGGUUCUCUCCGAAAUAGCUUUAGGGCUAGCCUCAAGUGAUGAUUAUUGGAGGUAGAGCACUGUUUGGACGAGGGGCCCCUCUCGGGUUACCGAAUUCAGACAAACUCCGAAUGCCAAUUAAUUUAACUUGGGAGUCAGAACAUGGGUGAUAAGG
rnacentral:rRNA from 1 species